AGAGUUUGAUUCUGGCUCAGAACGAACGCUGGCAGCGUGGAUUAGGCAUGCAAGUCGAACGGGAAUCCUUGAGUUCAAGUUUUCGGACGAGAACUCUUGGAGGAGAGUGGCGAAAGGUGAGGAACACGUGGGUAACCUGCCCUCAAGUUGGGGAUAACUUCUCGAAAGAGAGGCUAAUACCGGAUGUGAACCCCCUGGGCAUCCAGGGGAGUUUAAAGGUGGGGAUCCGUAAGGACCUGCCGCUUGAGGAGGGGCCCGCGCCCCAUCAGCUUGUUGGUGAGGUAACGGCUCACCAAGGCUUACGGGUAGCUGGUCUGAGAGGAUGGUCAGCCACACUGGGACUGAGACACUGCCCAGACUCCUACGGGAGGCUGCAGUCGAGGAUCAUUCGCAAUGCGCGAAAGCGUUGUUCGGAUUUACUGGGCGUAAAGAGUGCGUAGGUGGUGUCGUAUGUCGGGUGUGAAAGCCCACCGCUCAACGGUGGAAUUGCACUCGAAACUGCGACGCUAGAGUGCAGGAUGGGAGAGCGGAAUUCUUGGUGUAGCGGUGAAAUGCGUUGAUAUCAAGAGGAACACCGGUGGCGAAGGCGGCUCUCUGGAAUGCAACUGACACUGAGGCACGAAAGCUGGGGGAGCAAACAGGAUUAGAUACCCUGGUAGUCCCAGCCGUAAACGGUGUGCACUUGGUGUGGGGGGUGUUGACCCCCCCCGUGCCGGAGCUAACGCGUUAAGUGCACCGCCUGGGGAGUACGGCCGCAAGGCUAAAACUCAAAGAAAUUGACGGGGGCCCGCACAAGCGGAGGAGCAUGUGGCUUAAUUCGAUGCAACGCGAAGAACCUUACCAGGGCUUGACAUGUAACUGCACAUCCUGUGAAAGCAGGAUUCCUUCGAGGGUGUUACACAGGUGCUGCAUGGCUGUCGUCAGUUCGUGCCGUGAGGUGUUGGGUUAAGUCCCGCAACGAACGCAACCCUUGUGUUUAGUUGCCACCGCAGGUGAUGAGCCUGCGAGCACUCUAGACAGACUGCCCGUACAAGCGGGAGGAAGGUGGGGAUGACGUCAAGUCAGUAUGGCCCUUACGUCCUGGGCUGCACACGUGCUACAAUGGUCGGUACAGAUGGAUGCAAUGCCGCGAGGCGGAGCAAAUCCGCAAAACCGGCCCCAGUUCGGAUUGGAGUCUGAAACUCGACUCCAUGAAGUUGGAUUCGCUAGUAACGGCGCAUCAGCUACGGCGCCGUGAAUACGUUCCCGGGCCUUGUACACACCGCCCGUCACAUCAUGAAAGCCGUCUGCACCCGAAGUCGCUGAGCCAACCCGCAAGGGGGGCAGGUGCCGAAGGUGUGGGUGGUGAUUG
rnacentral:rRNA from 1 species